rnacentral:rRNA from 1 species
AAAACGGAGAGUUUGAUCCUGGCUCAGGAUGAACGCUGGCGGUAUGCUUAACACAUGCAAGUCGAACGAAAUCUUCGGAUUUAGUGGCGGACGGGUGAGUAACGCGUGAGAAUCUGGCUUUAGGUCUGGGACAACCACUGGAAACGGUGGCUAAUACCGGAUGUGCCCUUAGGGGUGAAAGGUUAACUGCCUGAAGAUGAGCUCGCGUCUGAUUAGCUAGUAGGUGUGGUAAGAGCGCACCUAGGCGACGAUCAGUAGCUGGUCUGAGAGGAUGAUCAGCCACACUGGGACUGAG